rnacentral:lncRNA from 1 species
ACCGUAGAAUUCACAAAUUUGCUCCACGCAUAGCAGCAGAGGGCAGAUUUUUUUCUUCUCUCCUGUCGCAACCGGCAGCAGCAGUCCACCUUGAUCCGUGUGCGAUUGAUGACGGCACCAGCACUGCACAACGGAGCAGCAAUGCUUGGAACAGCAGCGGCAGUAGCCGAGAUUAAUCAGGCGAAGGCACGAUCUCGCGGCCAGGAACAGACAAAUAUAGCAGUAACGCGCAGCAGAUUGGAUUUUUUUUUUCAGGACCAUGCCCACACGAUCUUGUGGCAAUAGAUCGGCCCCGUGAUCCAACUCCGCCUUGAACUCGAUCGACAACUGCGCCUUGGACUCGCCGCGUCAAGUCACCAAUUGGGAAACACGAAGAAAUCGCUGAGUGCGAUCUUGACAGCGGCGGCGCGAUGAACAGGAAAUUAAACCCUAGUUUUUUUUUUAACCUUGUGUCUAGUUUUUUUUAGUAUUUAUAUAGACGUCAGGCAUUAAAAAGAUAUUUUAUUAUUUUCGAAAUUAAGUAAUUAUAUAGAUAAAAUAAUUCAAGAAAAAUCCAAAGUUAUUGUUUAAGCCGUGAAGAAUAUCCCAAAGCUCUAAAAAUUUGGAGAAAACUAUCAGAGAUGUUAUGGAACAUGAAGAACCCAAAUAAAGUAUUUGGAGCUCAUGAUGAGAUAAUUUGGGGCAUCUAAAAAUUAGAUUUAUGCUCAUAGAAAAGGCUAGAAAAAUACCUGAGAAGUUUGUGUAGAGAUUGCUUGAUGGACGAGAAACUCAAACGAGUGACUUAGGUUUGAAAGAAAAGGUUCUGAGAGACUCUGAACGAAAUCUUGAGCUGAGAGACAAGGAAUUUGAUUAUAGAAGAAUAUAAAAGACAUGUCGGAUAAGGAAGAUCGAUCUACUAAACGUAUUUUAAAUAUUUUUCUUACUAUCAACACAUAAAGGAGCAACAAGCAUCACUUCAAAACAUAUGCACC